AAAGCUUUCCGGCGGUGACGACCUACCCAUGAGAACAUGCCUCUCACAAAGGAUCUCCUUCAUCCCUCUCCAGAAGAGGAGAAGAGGAAACACAAGAAGAAAUGCCUGGUGCAGAGCCCCAAUUCCUACUUCGUGGAUAUGAAAUGCCCAGGAUGCUAUAAAAUCAGGUAGUUUUGUGUGUUGGCUGCUCCACUGUCCUCUGCCAGCCUACAGGAGGAAAAGCAAGGCUUACAGAAGGAUGUUCUUUCAGGAGGAAGCAGCACUAAAAGCAUUCUGAAUCAAGAUGAGUGGGAAACCAUCUCAAUAAACACAUUUGGAUUAAAAAAAA